rnacentral:rRNA from 1 species
AUUAAUUCGAUGCAACGCGAAAACCUUACCUACCUUGACAUGUCCGGAAUCCCGAAGAGAUUUGGGAGUGCUCGCAAGAGAACCGGAACACAGGUGCUGCAUGGCUGUCGUCAGCUCGUGUCGUGAGAUGUUGGGUUAAGUCCCGCAACGAGCGCAACCCUUGUCAUUAGUUGCCAUCAUUUGGUUGGGCACUCUAAUGAGACUGCCGGUGACAAACCGGAGGAAGUGGGGAUGACGUCAAGUCCUCAUGGCCCUUAUAGGUGGGGCUACACACGUCAUACAAUGGCUGGUACAAAGGGUUGCCAACCCGCGAGGGGGAGCCAAUCCCAUAAAGCCAGUCGUAGUCCGGAUCGCAGUCUGCAACUCGACUGCGUGAAGUCGGAAUCGCUAGUAAUCGUGGAUCAGCAUGUCACGGUGAAUACGUUCCCGGGUCUU